rnacentral:lncRNA from 1 species
UUUGGUUUCCUCACCUAUAAAAUGGAUAAGUAUUGGGUUAUGUGAUACAUAAGGAUAAGGUAUCAAAUUACAGAGAAGCAUAAUCAAACAUGGAAGUUCACUUACCUUAAACCAAGGCUUUUAAAUUUUUUUGCUCUGAUAAAGACCUCAUUUUCAAAAUAUAGAGAGAAUUGACUCUAAUUUAUAAGAAAUCAAGCCAUUCUCCAAUUGAUAAAUGGUCAAAGGAUAUGAACAGAAAAUUCUCAGAUGAAGAAAUUGAAACCAUUUCUACCAUAUGAAAAGAUCUCCAAGGCAUUAGUAAUUAGAGAAAUGCAAAUUAAGACAACUCUGAGAUACCACUACACAUCUGUCAGAUUGGCUAGAAUGACAGGGAAAGAUAAUGGACAAUGUUGGAGGGGAUGUGGGAAAACAGGGACACGGAUACAUUGUUGGUGGAAUUGUGAAUACAUCCAGCCAUUCUAGAGAGCAAUUUGGAACUAUGCUCAAAAAGUUAUCAAACUGUGCAUACUCUUUGAUCCAGCAGUGUUACAACUGGGCUUAUAUCCCAAAGAGAUUUUAAAGAAAGGAAAGAGACUGUAUGUGUAAGAAUGUUUGUGGCAGCCCUCUUUGUAGUGGCCAGAAACUGGAAAUUGAGUGCAUGCCCAUCAAUUGGAAAAUGGCUGAAUAAAUUGUGAUAUAUGAAUAUUAUGGAAUAUUAUUGUUCUGUAAGAAAUGACCAGCAGGAUGGUUUCAGAAAGGCCUGGAGAGACUUACAUGAACUGAUGCUGAAUGAAAUGAGCAGGACCAGAAGAUCAUUAUAUACUUCAACAAUACUAUAUGAUGAUCAAUUCUGAUGGACAUGGCCAUCUUCAACAAUGAGAUGAAGAAAAUCAAUCCUAGUAGAGCAGUAAUUAAUUGAACUGACUACACCCAGCAAAAGAAACAAAAGGUUUUGCAGUUGUCAAUGCUGAAAAAUUACCCAUGUAUAUAUCUUGUAAAUAAAAAGCUAUAAAAAACAAAACAAAACAAAAAAAAAAAAACCCACAGCAACAACAACAAAAAAUAAAUACAAUAAAUUGAGUGACCAAAAAAAAAAAAAAAAAAAAAACUUUUUACCACUAGUAAUUACUUUUCAUGUGAGAAAUUUUUAUAUAACCCCAGGUUUAUAGAUAUAUGAUAGGUAUACAAAUCAAUCAUUUACUGAUAAUAAAUCAUAAAUAAAUUUAUUUUACAACAAUUCUUUGUAUAUGUAUAAGUUUGCCAUUUAUUAAAGACAAAAGGAAAUUUGCAUACUAAUGAGAUGGUCUGCAUGUUCAUUUUUACAAAAGGAUUUAAAUCUUGACAGAAUAUUUGAUGCCUUUUAUUGUUUCCAAAGUUUUUUCAACUCUCACAUUCAGCAACCACAUAUAGGAAUGUAGUUUAAGAAACUUUUCCUUAAAAAUGCCAAAAAAAAAAAAUUUUUUUUUAGAGAUCAUUUGAGAAAUUUUAAUGUGCAAAUUAUACUUGCUUUAUAAUAUUCAUAAUAAAAUUAAAAUAUUUUUAAAAGAUUGAAAUAGUAUUGGCUUAUGAAAAAAGAAAUGUUAAUCACAUUACAUGGUAUAUAUUAAUAAUAACUAAAUGAUAGAAAUGGAUAUUGAGUGAUUUGGUUAGCUCCUCUGCAGAGAGUUUCUGAAAGAACAUGCAUUGACUCCCAGAAAGUGACAAGAUGAAUAACUUUGUAAUCUGAACCAAUGUUAGGGUUAUCAAUCUUGUUUCUUUUCUUUUUCUCAUUCUUCCUCUUCUUCCUUUUCUUUUUCCCUUUCACUAUUCCUGUCCUUUUUUCCCCUAACUCCUCCUUUUCUCCUUUCCCCCCUGAUUACUAAGUUUUAUUAGUAUCUUUUUUUAUUUAUAACACAAUUUCUGGAAAGUACUUUUCUCAUCUUGCUAUCUUUUCCCCCCAAGUAUGAUGAAAUUAAACCUUCCCUUGUAACAAAUAAAAAUAGUUGAACAUAAAUGCUUAGUACUCUAAACACAUAUGAUAAUGACAUUUUCAGGUUAAAGUUUUCAUCUCUUGUCUAAGUAGAAAUAUAUAUCUGUUUUUCUAAGGCAAUAUUAUUUCAGUUUCUCAGAAUUGUUUUUCAUUUAAAUUGUCAUGGUCUAUCUGUACAUUAGGAGGGAGAAGUGCUCUGCUUUUGUCACAUCUCAUAUAUUCUUAUAUCUUACUAUGUUCUUAUAGACUUCCUCAUGAUCAUCAUUUUAACUCCAUGAUAAUAUGCUACUCCAUUCAUGUUCUGCAAUUUUUCCAGCCAUUUUCAAAUUGGUAAGUACCCACUUUGCUUCCAGCUUUUUUGUUUGUUUUUAUUUGUUUUGCUACCAUAAGAAACUACUGCCAUUAAUAUUUUAGUAUGUGGAACUUUUGAUUCUUUCAUUCAUUUUUCUUUGAGGCGUGUUAGGAUGGUUGGAUCAAAGAGUAUGAAAAUUUUAUCUACUUUUCUUGCCUAAUUCAAAAAUUAAUAUUGAGAAUCUUAAUUUUCUUAUACACAAUAGUUAGUUCAUGUCAAAAAUUUUUUACUAUUUAUUCUCCCCUAAAACUAAUUCACUACUCAGAUAGAUUUGUGAUUUCAUUAAUUUAGUGGUUCUCUCUAGUGAUGCAAAUUAUAACUUCUCUGUGGCUUUUUUCUAUGUUCAUCAUUUCAGUUUGCCAGUAGAUGUCUACCUGUCGUGUACCAUGUCAGGCCUUCACGGUUUCUUCUCAUAUUUUGAAGAUACUCUUUCCACAAGACCGAUCUAUCCUUUCUUCCUAUCAUUGAUUUUCCUUUGUCGUCUUUUGUUCCUGACUCAGAGGAUGGAAAUAGGUGACUUGGUGACCUCCAAUGAACAUCCAGCUUCAAAUUAGUGAUCCAAGGUAAAUAGGGCAUGAAUACUCAUAUUAGAUGUAACUUCCAUGAGUAAGUUCUUACUGCUUAUCACAGUGCCUAACACACAGUAGAUACUUAAUAAAUGCUUGUCCAUUGAACAAUUGAUUGUUCAAUUAGUAGCCUUCCAGAAAUUAUAAAAGGGGAUUGAGAUAGCAGGGGGUUCAGUGAUGGUGUUCUCUGUUGCUCAAAUCAGUAAUCCUAGCCUUUGUAUCUUCUUUUACAUGGAGUCAUGUUAUUGAUUUGUGUUAUGCACAUUGGAUACAUAUUUAAUUUAUAGCUUUUUCAAAAAUAAUUGUUGCCUCAGUGACCAAUUAACAUAAAACUCUCAAAAUCCUAAGGACAUUAACUGAUCUCUGGUGGUUUUUAUACAUAAUUCUUUAUUACCAAGUCUUCUAUUUCCUCCAUUCCCUCCACUCCAUACAUAUUACUUACUGUACAUAAUUCUGAAAUGACCUUCUUCUUCUGCUCAAUGAAGAACAACUCAAUUCCUCUACCAGAAAACCCUAAGCUUAAUCUGAGUAAGGCCAAAUGAAGUAGGACAGUUUUCUUUUAAUUGUGCCAGUAUAGCUUUAAGAACAAGCACUAUCACUAUGAUUCUAAACUUUUAAUAUUUUUGUUUCUACCUACUGCUCAUUUGUUUUAAGCAGGUGGCUUACAACAAGUAAGCUUUGGUAAAUUAAAAGGGAGGUCUAACAUGAGUGGUUGAAAGGAAUUUGACAAAGAAAGAGCCCACAGAGAUUUCUGAGUUUCAUAAUAAAUCUUCUUACUCAAAAUCCUGAACACCAAGAUGCCAUUACAUUUUACAUCAGCUUUACAUUUUGAAGCCUGCAGCUUUUUUGUGGAAUGCAAUUUAUUACAAAGGAUCGAGAUUAUGCUGAGCCCUGAGGCUAGAAAACAUUUGGCCAAACAUUUAAAGAUCUCCAGAGGGGGAGGCUGGCAUUAGACAACUCAUAUCAUGUCAAUUCUGUUGAUUCUUCCUUCUGGUUAUUUUCUGAUCCUGUUCCUUUGUUUUUAUGUUCAUUUUAUUUUUGUAACUGUGUAACUUUUUCUUUGCCUCAGAAAUACACACCUAUGCACCAAUUCUGAACAUUAAUUUGAAAGGGGAAAACAAUAAUAAAAAAUAACCUUAAAACUAAUGAGAAAUUAUAUGGACUACCAAAUCCUGAUUGGAUCCUCUGAAUUAUAUUUUAUUCAUCUUUUUAUCCCACACAAUACCUAAAAGAUUAUCUUGUGUACAAAAGAUAACAGACAGUUCAUGGGAAGUAUGAAGGAAGGAAGGAAUGAAAGAACAGAGGAACAAAAGAACUAAUAUGGGAGGAAAGGAGAAAGAAAAUGGAGGCAUCAAGGAUGAAGGAAUCAUCUUUUUUAAAGAAAAAAAAUAUCAAUAUGCUAUAUUUAUUUUUAAUAUAAAGUAGAUAUCUCAAGAACUUUUCAUCCUUUCUAUCAUUUGUAUGCAACUCAUUCCUAGUCCCUACCUUCAACAGGCACAUAAAUUUGAAUGCUGAAUUCUCAUCCUUAAUACAUUAAAAAGAUCAGUAAGAAGGUAAAUCCUAGCGACUCAUCCAUGUAGAAAGCAAUCAUUGAAUGAGUUGUUGGUGACAGAAAUGAAAACUAAUAACAAAGUUAAUUGUAUGAUCAAGAAUAAACUAGGAAUGAAAAUAAAACAGAAUAAAAAAAUAGAAUUUUAAUGGUUCUGAGAAUUAUUUUUAGAAAUAUUAAAGAUCAUUUUAAAAGAUACAUUCAAAAUAUUGAGAGAACAUACGGAGGAAUAAUGAGAAAAAUGUAUUAUGCCCCCAAAUUUGUGACCACUAGGCAAGUUUCAGGACUAGAAAGAAGUAAAGGUGCCAUUAUAUCUUAUAUAACAGUUAUUAAUGAACAUCUCUUGAUUUCUCCAGAAAUACUGAACAGGGUUCAAAAGGCAAGGAGGAGCUUCAUGAAUGUUGAGUUGAAAUGAAAAUAAUUUUUAGCUAUUCUUUUUUCUUUACAAAAGGACAGACACUGGCUAUCAGAUUGUUUGUCUUCCACAUUGACAGCUUAUUAAGAAACACACCCUCUCGCAUGUCUUAACUAUAUCAUAAAGUGAUUGGAUUAGGUGACUUCAAAAGUUCUGAACAGUUCAAAAUCUUAAGUCUUAAUUCUUGAUAGUUACAGCUCAUUCAUACCCCUUACAUCUCCAUUAACAAAUGAACAUGAAGAUAUCUUUUAAGUUGUCAAUACUCCAGAAAUGAGACCUGUACUUCUUUCAUCUUUCAUGUUUGAGAACAGGUAUCCUUGUCCCAUCAGAGGAGGUCUUGUGAUGUUGGGACAAAACAACGUGUAAAAAAGAUAUUUCUUUGACAAGAAGCAUCAAAACUAACCUGUGAAAUACAAAAACUGGAUUCUUAUACUAAGAAUUGGUUCUUCUAUAUGAGACCAUUUCUUUCUUUUAUAGUUUUGUAUUUUCCCAUUUUAUAAUUAUGAAUUUGUAGAAGUCAUUUCCCACAUUUGGGGAAAUUGAAGGAGCCUGUCUAGUCAGUACAGUCCCAAACCAAUAAUUGUGCCACAAACUAUGAAAACCACAUUCUAUAGCAUGGCGCAUGCAAAAGAAACCCUCCUCAAAGUAAGAAAAAUCCAAGUUUAAAAGCCCAAGUACCUCUGGCUUUUACUAGCCAUGUGACUGAGCAAGCAGCUCAACCUUACUCAGUGCCCCAAUUAAAACACUCUCAAAUGUUAGUCCCAUAGAAGUUGCUUUUUUGUCUUGAUGGAGGAAACUUCUUCAAUGAUAGUUCCCUGCACCAUUGAAAUCAUGAUGUUGAAUCUUUUAAUAACAUAAAUAGAUAAAAUAUAUUGUUUUAUCUAACAUUUUUUUCUUUUAAAUAGUGUUUUUUCUAAUUACAUGUAAAAUCCAAACAUUCUUUUUUUUUUCCUGAGGUAAUAGGGGUUAAGUGACUUUGCCCAAGGUCACACAGCUAGGAAUUAUUAAGUGUCUGAGGAUGAAUUUGAACUCAGGUCCUCCUGACUUCAGAGUUAGGACUCUAUCCACUGUACCAUCAAGCUGCCCCAAAACAUUCAUUUUUUAAAUAAAAUUUUGAGUUUCAAAUUGUCUUUCUCUUCAUCAUCUUUCUUCCCUAAAAUGGUAAGCAUAUAUAGAUUGAUAUAGGUUAUUUAUGUACAAUCAUGUAAAACAUAUUUCUAUAUUAGUCAUGUUGUGAAAGAAGAAGUAGAACAAAAGGGGAAAAAAUUUAAAAAGUGAAAAGAGUGUGCUUCAAUUUUCAUUCACACUCUCAUCAUUCUUUCUUGGGAUGUGGAUAGCAUUUUCCAUAAUGAGUACUUCUCUUGGAUCAUUGUAUUGCUGAAAAGAGCUAACAGUCAUAACUGAUCAUUCCACAAUAUAGCUGUUAUUGUGUACAAUAUUCUCUUCAUUCUGCUCCCUUCACUGUGCAUCAACUUUGCAUCAACUCUUUUGGUCAUCUGUCUUUUAUCCAUGUGGUAAUAGAUACUUUUCAGGAUUCACUUUUGCAAUACCAGCAGCAAAAGAGACAACCUGAGUGGUCACUGAAUUCCUUAUACAAGCUUUUGCAAUUAUGGGUGUGCCAUAAGCAAUAAAAACAGAUAAUGGACCUGCAUAAACUUCUAAACAUUUUGCAUACUUUUGUGCACAGUAUCAGAUUUUAUACACCACUGGCAUACCUUUUAAUCCUCAAGGACAGGCGAUAGUAGAAAGGAAAAACAGAGAAAUCAAGAUGCUCCUCCAAAAACAAAAGAAAGGGGGAGCCACAGAUAACCCUAGAGAACUUCUAACUUUAGCUCUUUACACUAUUAAUUUUUUUGAUUUUUGAUAAAGAUGCACUGGGUCCAGCAGAUAGGUUUUAUAAUCUACCAGAAGGACAGUGUCCAAUGAGAGCAGCUCCACUAUCUUUAGAUAAUCGCCAAGUGAUAUGGAGAGAUCUAGAAAGUGAUGAAUGGAAGGGACCAGAUAGGUUAAAUGCUUGGGGGGGAGGGUCUGCUUAUAUCUCUACAGAUGGAGAAGGAACCAGAUGGGUUCCAAUGAGCCAUAUUUGCCUUGUCCAUCAGGGAGAGAUGGAGAAGACCCUUGAAACAAAGGAAAAGACCCAAGAAACAUCAGAUGGUUCCAUCUCUGACCACAUAUGCCACUAAAAAAGCAUGACAGUGAACAUCAAAAAUUGUUGAUAAGACUGUUGGCAGGAAAUCAAAAUCUGCAGGAAUCAUUGAAUUCCCUGACACAUGAAAUAAUGGACAAUAGAUUGGUUUUGGACUAUCUUUUGGCUGCUGAAGGAGGUAUAUAUGUGAUUGUUAUUUAUACACCCUCCUUCUAGGACUUAUGGACAUGUAUAAUUUCUCAUAUUGAUUCAUGUUGUUUGUUAUAUCACUACUAGCCUUUGUAUUAUUACUAUAUGUUUGUGUAAUACCUCCCAUACUGAUGAAUUUAUGUAUACCUGUUUCAAGUAAGACCCUUCAAUCCAGAGGAAACCUGCUAACAAUAUCUGUUUUGGUGUUCUCAUCUUCCUGAGAAGUCAGGGAGGGCAUGAUCACCUCUCUUUUUUUUGUGUUUUAACCUCUCUUCCUGAGAAGUCAAGGAGGGCAUGACCAUCUGUGCUCUAAAACAAAAGAAAAUGGGAGAUGUAGAGGGCCAGAACUCUGGAGAACCAUACUUAAAACAAGGUGUUAAACCAGUGGAAUUGAUGAAAUAAUGUUUUUCUAGUUCACAUAUACUUAAUGUGAUAUAAUGAUAUGAUUGCUUUAGUUUGAUAUAAUGACAUAAUCACUCUAUAUUGGCUUAUACUCAGUAUACUGUAAUGAUGUAAUUGUAAUAGCGUAUUUAAGGGCUUACAGAACUGGGGACAAAGUCAGACUCAGACUGAGACUGGUUGAGACUGGCAGAUAGACUGUCGGAGGAGACUGGGUCACACUGAGACUGAGUCAGACUAUGACAGAUAUAGACUGUGAAGGAGACAAUAAUAAUUUUGAACUCUAUUCUUGUCUAUCCCCGUGGUGACUAUCCUGUUGACACCCACACCUGUCUGAAGGACCUCCAGAAAGCUAGCCUGAACAUUACAUUCUGGCGCCCAAAAUGUAAUGUUCAGGCUAGCUUUCUGGAGGUCCUUCAGAUGGGCCUUAUCUAGUGAUGAAGGCAGGACAGCCACCACAAGGCUGGGCUAAGUUGAAAUCUCUCAUUCCCAGUCCUUCUCAGCCCUUAUAUACCUUAGUACAAUUACAUUACAGAAUACUGAAUAUAUGUGAACUAGAGAACCAUCAUCUCAUCAGUUCUACUGAGUUAACCCCUUGUUUCAGGUAUACUUCUCCAAAGUUCUGGCCCUCUACAUCUACCUAACUUAGGAAAGAAAGCAGAUCAUCUUUUCUAGAAUGUAACUCCCCAGCAGAGAGAGAAUUUUCAAGUUUUACUCUUGAUGUGAUGAUCAGGAAAGAUAUUUAAUACUGCUCCAAGCUGUUAUAUUUUUCCCCUCUUUUGUUUUUGUGUUUUUGUUUGUUUUGUUUUGUUUUUAUUUUAGCAGUCCUGCCUAGUCCAGAUGUAAUUGGAACUCAAGAUUAAAAGGUUCUUUUUGUUAUUCUAGGGAAGUAGAAGGGGUGUUUCAUGUAAGAACACAAGACUUCCAAUUGUUUCCCUGAAGUAAUUUAAAAUUAGUUCUAGUAGGAGUGAUGGUAAUUUUGUCAAAAAGUUAACUAAGAUAAUUCUGGUACUUUUUAAGAAAAUAUGUCAGUUGCAAGGAUCUCAGAUUUUCUGGUAGGCUGAAAUUCUAGUGUCUUGACAUAUUCAAAGGGGAAAGAGCUUUCUUAUUGAACAAAAUCAAUUUAAUAGAUACGUUGAAGUAUAUGGAAGAAUAGACAGAGAGUUGAAUUUAGGAAGACCUAAGUUUAAGACAUUUUUUAGAUGUAUGUGAUUUGUGUAAGUAUGAAAAAGUCACCUAACUAUUCUCCUAGGCAAAUCUCUAAGAAUAUAUUAUAGGAUCAUGGGUCUAGAACUGUAAAGGAUCACAAAGGCUACAAAGUCAAAUUCCCUCAUUUUUUUUUCCUGAGGCAAUUGGAGUUAAGUGACUUGCCCUGGAUGACACAGCUAGGAAGUGUUAAGUAUCUGAGACCAGAUUUGAACUCAGGUCCUCUUGCCUUCAGGGCUGGUGCUCUAACCACCUAGCUGCCCUCAAAUUCCCUCAUUUUAAAAAUGAUGUAACUGAGGCUCAGAGAAGUUGAGUAAUUUCUCCAUAGUCACACAAAUAAGAAGUGUCAGAAAUAAGAUAUAAAACAAGAUUUGCUGGUUUCAAAGAGCCAGUGUUUUGUUUUUUUUUUUUUUUUAACUAUUCUGUGAAUUCAGAAAAAGUAGUUUUAAAAAUAAGACUAUAAAAAAUGAAUUUACAGUCCCCCUUAGCACUCCCACAAAACAACCAACAGUCAGUAUAAAUAAUGACAAUGUAGUACACUGUACUUUACAAAAUAUGUUUUGAAGCUCUAACAAGAAUUAAAGAACUUAUAAGCCUUAUGGGAGAAUCUGAAAAAGUCAGGCCUAACAAACAUAUGGCCAAGAAUCAAAUAAUUAAUAGAUUGGUGGUAUUCAGGAUCUUUAAACUAUCACAGUAAAAUAAAUGUAAAGUUAUCCUCCUAAGUCUUUAGUUUAGUCAGAGAUCCCUUGAGACACCACAAAGAAAAGUUCAUGAAUGAACAAAAGAUAGGACAAAACAAAGAUCAUAGAAGGUAAAAUGGAUAAUUUUGAUUACAUUAAAUUAAAAAGUAUUUGCACAAAAAAACCUAAUGCAGCCAAAAAUAGAAGAAAGUGAGAAGGGGGAAAGAGGGAGAUUUUCAAGUUUCUUGGAUAAAGAUCGAAUUUCUCAAACUGAGCAAAGUUUAUAAAAUAAGUUAUUUCCCAGUUGAUAAAUGAUUAAAGGAUAUAAACUGACAGUUUUCGGGAAGAAGAAAUUAAAGCUAUCAACAAUCAUAUAAAAAUGCUUUACAUCACUAAUAAUUGAGAAAUGAAAAUUAAAAACAACUUUUAGGUAUUGCAUCAUAUUGGUUAGAUUGGCUAAGAAGACAGAAAAGGAAAAUGGGUUCAAAUUCCAUCUUUGAUUAUUCCCUGUGUCACUUCUAUCUUCCCUGUUCCAUCAGUUCUCCAAUGAAUUAUUUUUCCUCAUCUCUUCAAUCUUCAACUUAGUCUCCAUGUCUAGUCAUUCCUUCCCUACUGUCUUCACAUAUCCCAAAGUCUCUA